AGCGUGCAGGAUGACGGCCCUCUGGGUUGUAAACUGCUUUUGUAUGGGAAUAAACCUUUCCACGUGUGGAUAGCUGAACGUACUGUACGAAUAAGGACCGGCUAACUCCGUGCCAUCAGCCGCGGUAAUA
rnacentral:rRNA from 1 species